CAUUCUCAACACACAAAGAAACAAUAAAACAAAUAAUUGGGUCUUUGUGUUGUUAGAAAUAAAGAAUAAGAUGGCAAAGGGAGCAGCGUUCUUUGUUCUGGUGUUGGCAUUGGCCUUUGUGUUUCUAAUGGACUCAGCUUACUCGGAUGACUCGGCAUACGAGGCAGGGAGAAAAGUUAAGGAGACAGCACACGACUUGAAACACAAGACUGAGGACUUCUUCAAAGGAAUUUUUGGUAGGUUGGCGAAAAACCACCAUCACCAUGACCACGCUCAUGCUCAUGAUCACGCUCAUGCUCAUGCUCAUGCUCAUGCUCAUGCUCAUUCACAUGUUCAUGCUCAUGGUCCAGCAACAGCAGUAUCAGUACCAGUACCAGCACCAGCAGAGACCCCUAAAGCAGCGAAAGCUGAAGCUCCCAGCCAUGUCUAGAGAGCCCAAGGGGUUGCAUAAGGGUCUUCACUUCUGCAACUGAUGUUAAUUUGACUUCUGCAACUGAUGUUAAUUUGAGGGGACGUCGAUCGCUCUCAACUUUGGUGCUCCCUUUUAAUUUUAUAGUAAUAAACCUAUUUUGGUUGUAAUUGGUUCCUUGUUAUAAUGUUAGGAACUGAUUUCUUAGAGAGCCCUUUGCUGCAGAAAAUGCAGUAUUUUUAGGUGUAAAUGUACCGAAUUAAUGCCAAUUUACCUCAAUCUUGGAACUUGCUGAAGCAA